UACGAAGGGGGCUAGCGUUGUUCGGAAUUACUGGGCGUAAAGCGCACGUAGGCGGACAUUUAAGUCAGGGGUGAAAUCCCAGAGCUCAACUCUGGAACUGCCUUUGAUACUGGGUGUCUUGAGUAUGGAAGAGGUGAGUGGAAUUCCGAGUGUAGAGGUGAAAAUUCGUAGAUAUUCGGAGGAACACCAGUGGCGAAGGCGGCUCACUGGGUCCAUUACUGACGCUGAGGUGCGAAAGCGUGGGGAGCAAACAGG
rnacentral:rRNA from 1 species